ACGCUCCUUGUUGUUGCAGGCUGCCUCUUCACCAAAGGUGUAUAUGUGGGCUGUAAGGAAAUCAAAAUGUGAUCUGAUUUGCCGAGGGCAGGGAGGGGCGUGGCCUGAUAGGCAUCUUUGAUAUUAGCGUAAAACAAAUCAAUCGUCCUGUCGCAGCGAGUGGGACAGUUCACGUACUGAUGCAUUGUUGAUAGCGGGGCAUCCAAGGAAAUGUGAUUGAAGUCACCCGAGAUGAUCAGGAGAGCCUGUGGGUGCCGUGUUUCCAGCUCCGAAACCGUAUGGACCACUACUUCGAUCGCUGUCUCUGCGUGCGCUUUGGGCGGGAUGUAAACACAGACGGCCAGAACGUCCGUUAACUCCCGAGGAGAUGGCCACCACAUCAUCCCCCACUGACCUUCAACAGUACUGCAGUGGAAAGGGUAAAAACGUGACUCAAACUGACCAAUGGUCCAAAAUGGCGACAUCAGACGAUAUCCGUACUGCAGAAAAAUGGCAACUGAAUAAAUUCAUUUUGUUGGAACCUGUGGUGGAUAUGGAAUGUCUAUGGAUGAAAACCUGUACGGCACAUGCAGGUAGCCAGCAGGAAACAUCAAAGUUGUGGUCCACUCGAUGAACCCAUAGAAGGAAAAUAUUCAUGACAUUUAUAGAGAUAGACAAAGUGCUUUAAUCCGAUUCCAAUGAACUGUGGCCAAUUCAGUUGCCCUUUUUCCACGGUACCAACUUCGCCAUUUUGGAACCAGGACGUUCUCCUUCCACACUGCUCUUUCACGGGUUUUCGUCGCCCAGCAGGAAGCGCACAGACGCACGUGGGCUAUUCUCCUGCUCACCAGAGCUGUGGGCUUCUCAUGCGAGUACGCUGGAGCAUCAAGAAAAGGAGUGCAGCUUGUGUCUGCGCUGAUGGUGGCCAAUAAUGCCCUGGCAAGAGGAGUCGAUGAUGAGGUACAGAUGGUGGGGAGGCCUCAAGAGAGACGUGCUGUGAAGAGGAGGAACCAAGUGUGUGUAACCUGGUAAAAAAAAUCUAAGUAAAAAAAAAAAAAAAUCUGGAAGAGCCUUUAAAGGAAUAACUGGCAUGCUUAUUUGGAGGACAAAUUACCAUGUGCUUUUUUGAAAUAUUUUGAUUUGAAUCCAUCUUUUCUCUAACCCCAUUGAAUAUUUUUCAGGAUCACGGAAUUACUGAAGCCUAUCCCAGCUACUGUUGGGAAAAGGACGGGAACAACCAGGACGGGUUUUGAAUCCACAUCACGGCCACACACUCACACACCUUGGGACAAUUUAGAGUAUCCACUUAACCUAUGAAGUAUGAUUUUGGACUGUGGAAAAUCCAUGCAUGUCAUAGAAGAACAUGCAAACUCCACCAGGGCUUUUGCACUGUGAGAUGAAAGUACUAACCAAUAGGCCCCCGUGAAGCCCAAAUUAUUUUUUUGUUACAGGUACUAAUUUUUUAGAUACUUAUUUUGAAUUAUAACUUAUGUUAUGUUCAUGUCCCACUAGGCGGACGCCCCAGGGAAGACCCAGGACAUGCUGGAGAGACUACGUCUGGGCUCCCCCCAGAGGAGCUGGAGGAAGUGGCUGGGGAGAGGGAAGUCUGGGCAUCUUUGCAUAAACUGCUGCCCCUGCGACCCAGUCCAGGAUGAGUGGAAGAAGGUGGGUGGAUGGAUGGAUGGAUGGAAACAUGCGUUCAAGCAACCACAUCCAAUGAAGAGCCUGUAAAUACACGUUUUGGACUUACAUUUUCAGAACCAUUUUUAAGUCACUUUUCUGGCGCCGCAUCCAAAAUGAGUAUCGUCCUUUUUAAGACGUGGAAGUGCCGACCAUUUGAAAACUGAUCAUGGAGGAUAGAGUAAUAAUUGUGGUUUUUGCUGGAAUUAUGACAACUUUCUUCAACUCUUUUCACACCAAGCCUCUUCCAACUGUAGGUGGGACAUUCAGAAAAAGAAGAAGAAGCCCCACCUUGCAUGUCCAGUGUGAACACUGUUGAAUAAAUGCACACUUUUGAACCCUUGUCCCGUGCCUGGCAUGUACAUAGCUUAAGGUUUACUUUGGUGUACAAAGCCAGUGUAAUGUCAUACUGCUUACUAAUAUUAGUUCAUUAAGGUACUUUACAUGUUUUAGUUUGGCUCAGAUUUAACCCUGAUCUUCUCUUUGCUUUCAGCAUUUUUCAGAUAUUCAGUCUGCAGGCUUACCAGUGAUUGAAAUUUAAAUAAUUCAGCGCAGCAAGUGUGAAAGUACUGGCAAAUUAAAAUGUACUUCCUCUGUCCUGUCCUGCCACAUAAUAUCUUCUCUCUUUUUGAUGCUGAAUCUUUACAUUUAUUUUCCUACAGACCAAGAGGACCAACAUGAAAUAUUAAGAAAAGAGAUUAAAGAUUUGUGUUUUACAUUUGUAGAGUUCUGCAAAGAACUUGAGUGUACAAAAUCUAAGGUUUUCUUCUUUAGGCUAUGAAAAUGCUGAACUAAGAGGAAAGAAUUAAAGCAAUGUAGAUAAAGGGUAAUUGAAAGCAGUAAAGUGCCCAAAGGGUAAAAAUUUCAAAACACCUCUAGCCACAAAAUGGCAACUGAUUCCAGGAACAACUUAACUAGCAGGCAGUCUGAUGGCUACUGGAAAUAAGUUCAAGUGACUGUGGGCUAUGCUUUAUUUCUGGGUUCUGGUAAAAAUAAAAUGUGUCCUUGUGCACAAAUACUACAUACAUUUCUCGCAAUAUUUAGUCUGAAUUUUAGAGUGAGGAAAACAGGUUGAAAUCAAGAUGCAGGAAGAAAUCAGACAUGGUCAAAAUAGGUUCAAUGAACCAAGAAUGACAAAGCACAUUAGUGCAGGACACAGAAAGACACCUCCUUAGGUACAGAAAACCUGAUUGCAGACAGUUGUGAUAGACUCAAGAACAAGAGGGGAUGGCAUAAAGGAGAAAUCACAGCUAACUUGAGAGAGCAAAGCAGAGGAAAACCAUAAACAAAACAGAGAGGCAAUUUAUGACGCUGAAGUUUAAUGAAAUAUGCGAAAGUUCACUUUUGAUAUUUCUUUAUUUUAUUUUUUACCCUAAAAAUUAAGACAAUAAUAAAGAUAACUCCAAAUAAUAAAAUUCUUAAAAGUUUCUAUCUCUCUGUGCCUUAAACAGGAGUGCAUGCGCUUUCUCCUUCAACAAACAAUAAACACUUGCUCCAAAUUAUAAUUAUGCAGGGGUAUGGAGAGAGGGGGGAUGGUAACCCUGACUCCCUCUGCUAGCAUGCAGGAACAUCGGAGGACUGUAGAUAAAAGAAUCAAAGGGAAGAGUAAGGGAAAUGGAAAAACAAAACAGCAGCUGUUACAAAUAUUUAUUAUUGUUCAUUUGGUAACAGUUUAGGCUUUGGAUUUCCUUGAUUCAAGUUUUAAUUGCUUCUCCAAAGUUUAUCAUGUGUACUGUUGAGUUUUUAUUUACUAAAGCUUGAAAGAAUGAAUGAAAUGGUUUAUUUCAAGCAAUCAGGAAUAAUACAUGAAAAAAAAAUAUCAUUUCAUUGAAUCACAAGUAGAUCGCUUGAGAGGGGGUGGGAAGAAGCGAACUUAUAUGAUCCCACCCCGGCUCAAUUGGCUUCAAAAUUUUUCUUUUCUUUCAUUUUCCUUUUCUCCUCGUUGCUGAGGAGAGCUGGAGACACAUGACCUGGAACCAGAAAUCUUCCCAGCUAUAAAUGUGCUCUCUUAUCUAUUUAUUUGUUAAGAUUUAAAACCUGUAAAAAUGAGAAAAAAAAAAUAAACAAAAAACUGUAAAAAGGCAAGAGUUAAAAAAAUAUAUCUUUCUGUGUGUGUAAUGCAACCACAAGGGGACACAAUCCAGAGUCCUCUUGUGCCGGUCCCAAAUCCUGAUAAAAGCAGAAAGGGUAUAUAUCAGAACCCACUUUUUGAGAAUGAGCCAGAUUCCAUUACAUGCCCGGAUUGGCGUAGCCAGAGCCCUGCUCUUGACCUGACUACCUGGUAGGUUGGACCCUCCCUGCGCUCUCCUCAGUCCUGCUGACACAUCCAUUUGAAGAAAAAGAGGCUGAGGACUGUCCAUCACCCCAUACCUGACACUCAAAUCGAAACAAAAACGAGAUGAGGAACGAGGACAAAUACUGUUCAGAAAAAAAGAUUUCUAAUUAGAAACUAAAAAAAA